UACGUAGGGUGCGAGCGUUAAUCGGAAUUACUGGGCGUAAAGCGUGCGCAGGUGGUUUUUUAAGUCAGACGUGAAAUCCCCGGGCUUAACCUGGGAACUACGUUUGAAACUGGAAGACUCGAGUGUGGCAGAGGGGGGUGGAAUUCCUGGUGUAGCAGUGAAAUGCGUAGAUAUCAGGAGGAACACCGAUGGCGAAGGCAGCCCCCUGGGCUAACACUGACACUCAUGCACGAAAGCGUGGGGAGCAAACAGG
rnacentral:rRNA from 1 species